rnacentral:rRNA from 1 species
CUGCUCAGAGCGAACGCUGGGCGGCAUGCUUAACACAUGCAAGUCGCACGAACCUUUCGGGGUUAGUGGCGGACGGGUGAGUAACGCGUAGGAAUCUGUCCAUGGGUGGGGGAUAACUCUGGGAAACUGGAGCUAAUACCGCAUGAUACCUGAGGGUCAAAGGCGCAAGUCGCCUGUGGAGGAGCCUGCGUUCGAUUAGCUAGUUGGUGGGGUAAAGGCCUACCAAGGCGAUGAUCGAUAGCUGGUUUGAGAGGAUGAUCAGCCACACUGGGACUGAGACACGGCCCAGACUCCUACGGGAGGCAGCAGUGGGGAAUAUUGGACAAUGGGGGCAACCCUGAUCCAGCAAUGCCGCGUGUGUGAAGAAGGUCUUCGGAUUGUAAAGCACUUUCGACGGGGACGAUGAUGACGGUACCCGUAGAAGAAGCCCCGGCUAACUUCGUGCCAGCAGCCGCGGUAAUACGAAGGGGGCUAGCGUUGCUCGGAAUGACUGGGCGUAAAGGGCGUGUAGGCGGUUUGUACAGUCAGAUGUGAAAUCCCCGGGCUUAACCUGGGAGCUGCAUUUGAUACGUGCAGACUAGAGUGUGAGAGAGGGUUGUGGAAUUCCCAGUGUAGAGGUGAAAUUCGUAGAUAUUGGGAAGAACACCGGUGGCGAAGGCGGCAACCUGG